GAUGAACGCUGGCGGCGUGCCUAAUACAUGCAAGUCGAGCGAACGGACGAGAAGCUUGCUUCUCUGAUGUUAGCGGCGGACGGGUGAGUAACACGUGGAUAACCUACCUAUAAGACUGGGAUAACUUCGGGAAACCGUAGCUAAUACCGGAUAAUAUUUUGAACCGCAUGGUUCAAAAGUGAAAGACGGUCUUGCUGUCUCUUAUAGAUGGAUCCGCGCUGCAUUAGCUAGUUGGUAAGGUAACGGCUUACCAAGGCAACGAUGCAUAGCCGACCUGAGAGGAUGAUCGGCCACACUGGAACUGAGACACGGUCCAGACUCCUACGGGAGGCAGCAGUAGGGAAUCUUCCGCAAUGGGCGAAAGCCUGACGGAGCAACGCCGCGUGAGUGAUGAAGGUCUUCGGAUCGUAAAACUCUGUUAUUGGGGAAGAACAGAUGUGUAAGUAACUGUGGACAUCUUGACGGUACCUAAUGAAAAAGCCACGGCUAACUACGUG
rnacentral:rRNA from 1 species